UGGCGACCGUGACGACUUUUUAAUAGAAACAGACCAGGCUUGCAAGAAAAGCACGUCCCGCCUUCAGGUGUUUGGACUCAGCGGAGGGUGCGGGGGCCCCGCGGUGGGGGCUGAAUUGCCCUGGGGUGCGGGGAGACGAAGGGAUCCCAGAUCCAAGUCGGCUCGUUCCCACUUUAGGGCUCGAUGCCCCGCUGUCUCCUAAGAGGUGUGGGACACCUCUCCCCCCUCCCGGGCCCCAGUGAGGGUGGCGUCCUGCUCCAAGGUGUCGUGGAGCUACUUUCCAUGUAAAGGCGGUCGCGGGAUAACGAGACAGUGUAGCAUCAGACAAGUGUGUGGACUCCACACACCAGAACCAGGAGCUCAUAGAGAAGAACGAAGUGUAAUUGUUGAGUUUGCUAGACAGGCUAUUGGAGCAAGAGUGAAGAGAUCAGGGUCCCAUCAUUGGGACACUUUAGUGUAACAUCAGAGAAGGAUGUACACUCUGUGCCCCAGAACCAGAAGCUCAUAGAGAAGAACCAAGUGUGAUGUAGAAUCUGCUAGACAGGCUACUAGAACAAGAGUGAACAGAUCAGGGCCCUGUCAUUGCCACAUGUUAAGGCUGCAGUUCCUAAUCCCCAGGCCGUGGACCAGUACCAGUCGGUGGCCUGUUAGUCACUGGGCCACAGAGGUCCACAGCCCCCCAACCUGUCCUGUGGAAAAAUUAUCUUCUGUGAAACUUAGGAAGAGCUGCACAG